AUUGAACGCUGGCGGCGUGCUUAACACAUGCAAGUCGAGCGGUAACAGGUGUAGCAAUACAUGCUGACGAGCGGCGAACGGGUGAGUAAUGCUUCGGAAUCUUCCUCGUAGUGGGGAAUAACCUGGGGAAACUCAGGCUAAUACCGCAUACGAACUACGGUUGAAAGCAGGGGAUCGCAAGACCUUGCGCUAUGAGAUGAGCCGAAGUCGGAUUAGCUAGUUGGUGAGGUAAAGGCUCACCAAGGCGACGAUCCGUAGCUGGUCUGAGAGGACGACCAGCCACACUGGAACUGAGACACGGUCCAGACUCCUACGGGAGGCAGCAGUGGGGAAUUUUGGACAAUGGGCGCGAA
rnacentral:rRNA from 1 species